UGCUUGCUUCUGUAGCACAUCGCUAAAUUUGGAACGAUCUAGAGAUUAGCCUGGCCCUUAUGCAAGGAUGACACGCAAAUUCGUGAAGCAUUCCAUAUUUUU